GGUCCCUUCGACUAACAGGUCAGGUCACAGCCCUUUCAAGGCUGCAAUGCGGGUUCAAAUCCCGCAGGGAUCACCA
rnacentral:tRNA from 1 species